rnacentral:rRNA from 1 species
UUUUAUUGGGCCUAAAGCAUCCGUAGCCGGUUUUAUUGGUCUUCUAUUAAAUCUAAUAGCUUAACUAUUUGACUGUAGGGGAUACCAUAAGACUAGGAGGCGGGAGAGGCGGACGGUACUUUGUGGGUAGGGGUAAACUCCUUUGAUCCAUAGAGGACCACCAGUGGCGAAGGCGGUCCGCCAGAACGCGCUCGACGGUGAGGGAUGAAAGCUGGGGGAGCGAACCGGAUUAGAUACCCGGGUAGUCCCAGCUGUAAACGAUGCAAGCUAGGUGGACGGGAUGA